rnacentral:rRNA from 1 species
CCGGGUCUCUUUUUCUGGUGAGCUGGAGUGCUCUUUACUGGGUGCACCAGGGAACCAGGACUAUUACCUUGAAAAAAUUAGAGUGUUUAAAGCGGGCAUUUGCUUGAAUACAUUAGCAUGGAAUAAUGAAAUAGGACGACGGUUCUAUUUUGUUGGUUAUAGGACCAUCGUAAUGAUUAAUAGGGAUAGU